GCUUACGGCCACACUUGCCUGAAUACGCCUGAUUUCGGAAGCUAAGCAGGGUCGGGCCUGGUUAGUACUUGGAUGGGAGACCGCCUGGGAAUACCAGGUGCUGUAAGCU
rnacentral:rRNA from 1 species